rnacentral:rRNA from 1 species
UACGUAGGGGGCGAGCGUUGUCCGGAAUUACUGGGCGUAAAGGGCGCCUAGGCGGUUUCUUAAGUCUGCUGUGAAAGACCGGGGCUCAACCCCGGGGCGUCAGCGGAGACUGGGAGACUUGAGUGUCGGAGAGGAGUGCGGAAUUCCUGGUGUAGCGGUGGAAUGCGUAGAUAUCAGGAGGAACACCGAUGGCGAAGGCAGCACUCUGGCCGAAUACUGACGCUGAAGCGCGAAAGCGUGGGGAGCGAACGGG